UACGGAGGGUGCAAGCGUUGUUCGGAUUUACUGGGCGUAAAGCGCGCGCAGGUGGGUGAACAAGUCGGAAGUGAAAUCUUGAGGCUCAACCUCGAGGCUGCUCCCGAAACUGUUCGCCUAGGGACUGGUAGAGGCUGGUAGAAUUCCCGGUGUAGCGGUGGAAUGCGUAGAGAUCGGGAAGAAUACCUGUGGCGAAGGCGGCCAGCUGGGCCAGAUCCGACACUGAGGCGCGAAAGCGUGGGGAGGCAAACAGGG
rnacentral:rRNA from 1 species